AUAAUGCAGUCGAACGCACUCUCGUUUAGAUUGAAGGAGCUUGCUCCUGAUUGAUAAACAUUUGAGUGAGUGGCGGACGGGUGAGUAACACGUGGGUAACCUGCCCUAAAGUGGGGGAUAACAUUUGGAAACAGAUGCUAAUACCGCAUAAAACCUAACACCGCAUGGUGUAGGGUUGAAAGAUGGUUUCGGCUAUCACUUUAGGAUGGACCCGCGGUGCAUUAGUUAGUUGGUGAGGUAAAGGCUCACCAAGACCGUGAUGCAUAGCCGACCUGAGAGGGUAAUCGGCCACACUGGGACUGAGACACGGCCCAGACUCCUACGGGAGGCAGCAGUAGGGAAUCUUCCACAAUGGACGAAAGUCUGAUGGAGCAACGCCGCGUGAGUGAAGAAGGUUUUCGGAUCGUAAAACUCUGUUGUUGGAGAAGAAUGUAUCUGAUAGUAACUGAUCAGGUAGUGACGGUAUCCAACCAGAAAGCCACGGCUAACUACGUGCCAGCAGCCGCGGUAAUACGUAGGUGGCAAGCGUUGUCCGGAUUUAUUGGGCGUAAAGCGAGCGCAGGCGGUUUCUUAAGUCUGAUGUGAAAGCCUUCGGCUCAACCGAAGAAGUGCAUCGGAAACUGGGAAACUUGAGUGCAGAAGAGGACAGUGGAACUCCAUGUGUAGCGGUGAAAUGCGUAGAUAUAUGGAAGAACACCAGUGGCGAAGGCGGCUGUCUGGUCUGUAACUGACGCUGAGGCUCGAAAGCAUGGGUAGCAAACAGGAUUAGAUACCCUGGUAGUCCAUGCCGUAACGAUGAGUGCUAGGUGUUGGAGGGUUUCCGCCCUUCAGUGCCGCAGCUACG
rnacentral:rRNA from 2 species